UUAAGGAACCCACUGAUCGAGGCCAGGGAUCGAACCAGCGUCCUCAUGGGUACUAUUUGGGUUCGUUAACCACUGAGCCAUUGCGGGAACUCCUGAUUUAAUUUUUAUUUCCCUUUUAUUGAUGUGUCAGAUAGCUUAUUACAUUUUGCACUCUUCCUUUAGAACACUUUCAGUAACCACAUAUCCGUUUUUAAACAACUCUUUACGGAGCGCCUGCUGCAUGUCCGAUGGUGCUUCCGCUUAGGUGAUUAUCAGUGAACAAAACAGGCCCCGCCGGGGCGUGUCCUGGAGAGCGUGGGACCUGCACCAGGGAGCGCGGUGUUCAGCAAAGGGACACGCACGUGGAAUGUGACGGCCGUUCACGCAUCGUUUCAGGGUGUGAUGCAGACACGCACCACAUACACUGGUCCUUACAGAAAAGGUUUCAUGACCUGUUGUUAAGUGGAAAAAGCAUUUGUCCUCACUGAGCAUCCUGCUUUUGUAAAAUCCUAGCGUAUGUUUACAUGUGAUUGUGUUGGAGUUUUGGGAACACUAUAUUAAAAAAUACCUGUGGGUAGGGAGA